ACAAAGAAUAAUUAUCUUAAAGUCAAAGUAAUUUCAUCUUUGAAUAAUAAAAUCAAUAUUGAUUGUUGAUUUAGCCUUUUUCAAACAAAUUCAAUUGAAUAUGUCUUUUGAUCUUUUUAUUCAUAAUAUUAAGAGUAAUUCUUCUGAAUUUAUUAAAGCAAUAAAUACAAAAAAGAUGCAUAAAUCUGUAAAAUUUAUAUUAAAAGAAAAGUGACAAAAUAAAAAAUAAAAAAAUCAUCAUAAGAAAAAAUAACAAAAUAGAUUAAAAUAUAAAAAUACAAAAUCUAAUUAUAUUAAGAGAAAUGUCAU
rnacentral:lncRNA from 1 species